rnacentral:piRNA from 1 species
AAUUGAACGAAAUGUGCCACU